GGUGGUAGCUCAGUGGUAGAGUACUUGCCUAGCACAUAGAGAUACCGUGUUCAAUCCUCAGCACCA
rnacentral:tRNA from 1 species